AGGGAAUAUUGGGCAGUGGAGGCAACUCUGACCCAGCCAUGCCGCGUGCAGGAAGAAGGCCUUCUGGGUUGUAAACUGCUUUUGGAAGGGAACAAAACGUGCCUGCGGGCAAACUUGAGUGUACCUUCAGAAUAAGCACCGGCUAACUCCGUGCCAGCAGCCGCGGUAAUACGGAGGGUGCAAGCGUUGUCCGGAUUUAUUGGGUUUAAAGGGUGCGUAGGCGGCCUAUUAAGUCAGGGGUGAAAGACUGCAGCUCAACUGUAGCAGUGCCUUUGAUACUGAUGGGCUUGAGUACAGAUGAGGCCGGCGGAAUGGGUGGUGUAGCGGUGAAAUGCAUAGAUACCAUCCAGAACACCGAUUGCGAAGGCAGCCGGCUAAACUGUAACUGACGCUGAGGCACGAAAGCGUGGGGAUCGAAC
rnacentral:rRNA from 1 species